UUAAUUAAAUAAAAUGGAGUUUUUGUUUAAUUUUUACUUUUAUCAUUGGGAGAGACAUAAGAUAACUCUUUGCAUUUAUGUCUUCAAAUAGAGUGAAAUUGGGACAUACCAUGCAUGAUGGGUUAUUCUGAUUUUAUAUUAUCAUAUGGUUCAUAUAUUACAGAUAAUUGAGUUUAAAAUAUUUAACAAUAAGUUCUUUAUGUAAAUCCUAAUAAUCUUUUAUUUAGCUUGCAGUAAACUUUUUGUUCCCAUUCUAAAAUAUAUUAAAAAACCUAUAAAGGGGGAGAGAAAACUUUAUUUAUUCUCUAUAUUAAGUAUGGAUUAAAUAUAAAACCUUUAAAAUUGAUUAACACCUUAAAUCUGCACUCAAAAUCAAACUUUCAAAUACAAUAAUAAUUAAAAGUUUAGCUACCACCAUUGACUUUUACCCCUCUUUAAAUUUCUGUAGUACUUAAAAUCAUACUUAGAGAAAAAAAUGUAUUAAAAUAUUGAGAAUAAAUAUUUAUCCUAAAAAAGUAAUAUUUUAUUAGUUUUGAUCAUUAUGCCAUAAUUCUUGACCAUUUAAAUGUUAGUUUUAACUGGAAAAUCUAUCUACAUAAUAAUAGAGGAUAGCAAUGCAUUUUAGUGAUUUAAAAAAAACCCUAUAUUAAAAAAACUGAUCCCAUAUCUGGAAGUGACAUUUUUCAAAAAUCUUUAUAAGGCUAUAAGCAAAAUUGGUACUCAAGAACUAACUUUAUAAUACAUUAUAGGAGAUAAAUUUAUUAGAGGUGAAUUAAAAGUAAGAAAAUAUAAUAUUUUACUUCUCAGAUUAAAAUAAAAAUAUUUUAAAAUGUUACAAUACUCAGCUAUAGAAAAAUAGCCAAACUGUGAUUCUCAGCCACCUGGCUGGAAAUUAAAAUGAGAUAAUAUUGUAAAUGAAUUCAGAUACAUUUACAAUAUGAUCUCAUUCAGAUACAUUUGUUGUGAUUUUUUAAAAUCAUUUUGUAAAGUAGCAUUUUUCGAUUAGGCUAUAUUAUACAGGAGUAAAACAAACUGUUGUUUUUUCUCAUAAUUUCAAAAGACCCUGUAGGAAAAUUAAGGUGGAUAAUUCUGUUUACAUACUGUUCCUUGUAUUCUUUGAUGUAUUCUAAUUAUUUUGAUUUUUGAUUCAUUCCAUUAUCUCAUUUCUGCUGCGAGGUGCAAAUUGUUUAUUAAAAUGCUGAUUUGAAGCGUAUUUUUAUUAAGAGAAACCAACACUAGGUAUAUCAUAAAGUUAAGUAAAAAAAAACAAUUUUAAUAGCGUCUAUUUCCUCUUCUCGCAGCAAUAACAGCUUGCAGUCUUCGCGGCAUCGAAUGAAUAAGGUUCCUUAUUCUUUCUUGAGGAAUAGCUUCAUAUUCUUCGAUCAGCGCUAGUCGUAAGUCUUGCAAGGUUUGUGGUUGUACAGGACGACGACGAACGGCCGUUUUAAGUUGAUCCCAAAGAUGUUCUAUUGGGUUGAGAUCCGGGCUACAUGCGGGCCAUUCCAAUCUUGGGAGUCCAACUUCAUCCAGAUAUUCGCUCACUACAUGUGCAACGUGAGGUCUAGCAUUAUCAUGCAUUAAUGUAAAUUGGUUCCCAAUGAAUGGAGCAAAUGGGACAACAUACCAAGGAUUUCCUCAAUGUAAUGGUGGGCGGUUAGAGCUCCAUUUUCAAUAAAUACAAGAUUGGUGCGUGCUUUGGUAGAAAUACCCGCCCAAAUCAUGACUGAACCGCCACGAUAUGAGAUUUGUUCUGAAAUGGUGCAGUCACCACAAAGAUAUGCUCUUUCAUUUCUACAUCUGUAUACCCGCUCACGACCAUCCGGCGUCCUUAAACAAACCCUGGAUUCAUCUGUGAAUAGUACGUUUGCCCACUGUUCUAGAGUCCACUCAAAAUGCGAUCUUGCAAACCUCAGUCGAUGUUGUCGAUGCCGAGGAAGUAAUUGUGGACAUCUUGCUGGCCUUCUACGUAUCGUUCUUUCACUUACAUUUACUCCAUGAAGUAAUCGCAAGUCAGUUUUUAGACACACAGCAGUAGAUCUUCGAUCUCUUAAAGAACUAAUGGUGACAAAGUGAUCAUCAGCUGCAGUGGUCAUUCUUCUUCUGCCAGAGCCUUGUCGUCUAGUAAAAAUUCCCGUCUAUAAAUACCUAUUCCAGGCAUCUCGAACUGUAGACCGCGGAAAUCUCAGAGUACGGGCGACAUAACUUUUGCUACGGCCAUCCCUCUAUUAACGCAACAAUUCUACUCACGUCUGCUGGAGUUAAUACCAUAUUGACACACAACAAAUUAUAAUAGUGACACUGUCAAACUUUAUGUCACAUUAAUUGCGUCCUUAGCCAACGUCGAUCAUUUUUAACCGAAAACUUGACAUUCAUUAUCUAAAAAUAAGCUUCAAAUCAGCGUUUUAAUAAAAAAUUUGCACCUCGCAGCAGAAAUGAGAUAAUGGAAUGAAUCAAAAAUCGAAAUGUUUAGAAUACAUCAAAGAUUACAAGGAACAGUAUGUAAACAGAAUUAUCCACCUUAAUUUUCCUACAGGGUCUUUUGAAAUUAUGAGAAAAACCAACAGUUUGUUUUACUCCUGUAUAAUAUAGCCUAAUCGAAAAAUGCUACUUUACAAAAUGAUUUAAAAAAAUCAUAACAAAUGUAUCUAAAAACUGAUGGCAAAAUAGUGAGAAUCUGAUUAAAAAUAAAAAAUUUAUAAAACAUCACACUUGGCCAAUAUUUCAGGGUGGCGGAAUUUUGUGCCGGCGAGUAUAUUACAAAUACUCCAAAAAAUCUUGCAUUUAUUUUACAAAAAAGGGCACAGUUGAUCAUGAAAUUAAAGAAAGCCAGUCAAUUAGUCUUCCACUUAACCCUAAAAGUAUUCCAAUACUCUUGAGCUUUUCACGGCUUUGGAUGAAAAAUGGAAAGAAAUUGAUAUAUCAUGUUUGUUGAUACAUAUCAACAAACUAUUAGAGAAGAUGCCAGGCCGUUAUUAAAAAUAACGGUUAUGCGACAAAGUAUUAAGUCUGUUAUUUUACAAAAACAUUUUUUUGCAGAAUUUCAGCUAAUUUCUUAAGUUUUUUACAUUUGUCUAAAUAUUUUUGUCCCUUAACAUUUAAUAAAUUUUUUUGUAGUGCUUGAUGUAUAUGAGUAAUUUGUAUUUUAUAACAGUUAGGUACUGAGGAAUUAUUAUUUUAUAUUUGGGUUUAAAUAAAGGUAUAUUGGGUGAAGCAUUGUGUUAUAAUUCUUUGGAUAUUCUUUAUCUAUAUACUUUUGUCCAUUACUGUAAUCUUUUGUAAAUCUCAAAAAAUAUCAGGUAGGUGUCGAAAGGUUAUUCAUCUUAAAAAGCUGUUGAAUGAAUAUUUUUAAUUCCUGUAUAUUAAUGAGGCCACAUAAUUUGAUAAUAUUUUAUAGAAAUAGCUAACCUUUGAAAGACAUCCAGUAUAUACCUAAGUCUGUUAACAAAACUCACAAUUUAAUAGCAAAAUCAUAUUUUGUGAUAUCAAUUGUAUGCAAAUAAAUCUAUUCUAUGUGUCAUUUGAAAAAUAAUUCAAUUCAGCAAUAUAUUUAUUUAUAUUUAUCAUUCUGGAAUUUUAUGGGUGCUGCUAUAACUUUUUUACAUUGUUUUACUUAAUCACCCAAGAAGAUCUAAAUAUAAUGGAGAAAAGUUGGCCUUAUAACACAUUAUAAAGGUUUGUAAGUGAUACCAGUUUAGUGAUGAAUAGUUUAUUAUAAAAAAUAGGGCAGUUUUAUGUAUUUUUAAGGAAUAAUCACAGUUCAGAAUUUUUUUGUUUUCAAAAUACAGUAGGCUCGCGUUAAUGUGAACUCAAAAAUUUCGACUUAGUUUGCAUUACUAAAAUGUUCACAUUAUGGAGAUUAUAUUAAAAAUAGCUAAAAUUAAAAUAAAAUGGAACUACAUUGUACUUUAUUUAUGUUUGUAUUUAUUUAUAAAUUUAUUUAUUACAGUUUUAAGCAUUAUACAAAAGUUUUAUUUAAAAAAAGAUGUAAUUUUUGUUUGCACUUUUUUUUGUGACAGGUUUAAGGCUACAGCCUUUUCUUCUAAACCUUUUAGUGUAAUAUGUCCUUUAUGUCGACAUAGUUUUGACUGGCCCAUUGUGUGACAAUUUUCAAGGCUGCAAGAGCCUCCAAAUGCGUAACUUUUUUUUCUUUAAAAUUUAAUAUCUGGCAGGCACUAUCUUCUAUAUCAUUGCUAUCGAGAUUUUCCUCCACUGCGUCUGUAUUUCAUUCCUCAAUGUCUUUGGGAUUAUAAUCAAUCUAAAAACAAUCAUAUCUCAAUGAAAUUCUAAAACUAUUACAGACUUUCUUCUUUUAAUUUCCAAAAAUCGAAAAUUAAAAGGAGUAACUAGCACUAAAUAAUACCUGUUUAAUUGUUUGAAGCAAUGUAAUGGUUUCAUUAACUGCAGCUGCUCUAACAUCAUUUUCCCACAUCUCUUUUAGUCGAGCUAAAGGUAGGUCAUCCCCCUCCAAAUUUUUUCCCAAAAUAUUAUUCCAACAUUUUAAAAUUAGUGAAGGCUCUAUUUUUUGCCAGGCCAUAUGCAAUUGCAUAAUAGCAUCUCUUAAAGUUAUAACUUUUAGGGCAUCAGCUACUCCUUGACCCUUUGAUACAAUUGAACUUAGUAGACAUUUUCUACAAAAUAGUUUGGUUAUUCGCAAAACAUUUUGGUCUAAUGGUUGAAUUAAUGGUGUAACAUUUGGGGGCAUGUAGACAACAAAAAUGUGUCCAUCAGAAGUUUUUAAUUCUUCUGCCGGUGGAUGCGGAGGGGCAUUGUCUAACAGGAGAACAGCUUUUAAAGGAAGGUUUUUGCUUUGUAAAAAUGAUUUAACCUAAAAACCCAAUUUAGUCUUAAAAAAAUUAAAAAGCAAACAAAACUUUCACUUACCAACCAAUUUUUAAAAAUUUCCUGCGUCAUCCAGGCAUUUUUAGUGCUUUUAUAGAUGACUCGAUUAUCAAAUCCUUUAAAACAUCUGGGUGAUUUUGCUUUUCCUAGUACUAAAGGCGUUAGUUUGUGUGAUACUGUAGCAUUUGUGCACCCCAAAAGAGUUAUUCUUUGUUUAGCUAUUUUUAGACCAGGCGCCCUUUUUUCAAAAAUUGCAACAUAGGUUUUAUCUGGCAAUAACUUCCAAUAUAAACCCGUCUCAUCUGCAUUAUAAAUUUGAUCUUCACUAAGAUUAGGCUGCUUCAUCUUUUUUCUUAAGCCUUGAGGCUGCGAGGACAACUUUUCACCUGCAAUUUUAAGCAGCCUUAUACCAUAUCGCCAUUUAAAUUUUUGAAGCCAUCCAUCGCUUGCAUUAAAUUUAUCGUUGAGUUUUAAUUUUCUAUGUAAAUCUAGAGCCUUUUCUUUAAGCAUAUCACCCGUAACUGGCAAAUUUCGUUCACGCUGUUUGGUAUUUAUACAGCAAAGUUUCCAUCUUGGGGUUUUCUGCACUUUUUAAAGUGCAUUUUUUUAUUUUAUUAGGUCUUAAACUCUCUCCAACAAUUUUUAGAAUUUUUUCUUUAUUUUUAAUUGCACAAAUAGUUGAUUUUGCUAUUUGAUAUAUCUUUGUUAGUGCAGUAACACUCAUACCAUUUUUGUGCUCUUCAAACAACGUUUAAAAUGCAUAAACCCAAUAUCCACUAACAAGCCUAGACAAGUCUACACAGGAUUACUAAAGAUUUCUUAAAAUUCACAUUAUCGAAAUAUGGGUUUGUUCACACUAUAGAAUUAACAUAGAAAAAUAUUGGUGUUCACAUUAAUGAGUUGUUCAUAAAAUCGUAAGUUCACGUUACCGCGAGUAUACUGUACAUUGAAAAUGUCAAAAUUGCCAAAAAUUUAUUUAAUAUUUUAAAAACCAUUAACUUAAAUGGAUUCAACGAAAACUUUUGUUCAAAAUACCAUUUUUGGAAACUAAAGAUGGUCUUCAUUUGGCCUUUUUCAUUUUAAAAUGUUUUAUGUGCUGCUAUUCUCAUCAGAAAUUUCUCAGUAAAAACUUGGAUUUUUUUCACAAAGAUAAGGUAUACUAAUUUUCAUAAGUAUAUGGAGAUAAUACAUGAGCAAACUAGUAACUUAUUGAGUUUAGGCAUUACAUAUUUAUUUGGUAGUUAUUUUCAGUACAACUUUAUUUUAGCUUUUGUUUAAAUGUUAUAUUAAUUAAUUGUUUAAUGGAUAUAUCAUGGAAUUAAACAUGUUGAGAGUUGACUGCUAAAUUGUGCUUAUUUCCUAAAUUAAAUAUAUACCUGGUGUACAUCAUCAACAUUUUCUUAAAAGAUUCAAUUGUUGUAUUAACCAUUUUUUAAAACCUAUAUUGCAGUGAAAAAAUACUAUACUUUUGCAGUAUGAAGGGUAUGUUUAUACUGUAAACAUUUGAAAAUAUCCUUUUUUUAAGUUGCACAUUACUUCAAAAACGCAUUUGAAAAAGUCAUUAUUGAUAUUUCCAAAACUAAAAAUAUCAUGGUAAAGCAAUGUGAGAAUUAUAAAAUUUUUCUGUAUAUUAUUUUUUACAGAAAAUGGUUUUCAUCAAAGUAAAUAGGUUUGUGGCAACUCUAUAACUCCACCAUAAAACCUGUUUUCUCUAUUUUAACUUGACUCUUUCCAUAAUCGAGUUAGCAAUAGUAAUAUGAAAUAAAUUGCAGGUAAUUGAUGUGUUAAAUAGGAAAAAGUUUUUUUACCAUCUGUUGUUAAAGUUAUAAAAUAAUACAAAACAGCGUUUUUACCUGACCAGGUAAAUACUUAACUUUUUCUCAUUUAUCCCAUAUAAGGUUUAUUCCAUGGUUACUUUGUUAGAGAUGUAAAUCAUCUUAUUCUGUGCAUGCUGUAAAAACCAACAAUAAAAUUUUCUUAACUGUCAUACUUAUUUCUCUCCUGUUGAUAAAAUUGUGUUUUUUUGGGGUUUGGCAUUUUUUCUUUUUCAGGUAUACAGAGAGCUUUAAAUUUCAUCUAUAUGGUGCUUUAAAGAAUUAUUGUGAUCGGGAUGCUUGAAGUUUUGCGACAACGUACUAUAUGUGUAGUUUGAACUCACUUGGACGGUAAGUCUAGUUACGGCUAGACGGCCCUCAACAACCAGGAUCUCUAGGAGAUGCACAUAUAAAUUUUUUUAUCAUGAAUAAAUAGACUUUUUUA